rnacentral:rRNA from 1 species
UACGUAGGGUGCGAGCGUUAAUCGGAAUUACUGGGCGUAAAGCGUGCGCAGGCGGUGAUGUAAGACAGAUGUGAAAUCCCCGGGCUCAACCUGGGAACUGCAUUUGUGACUGCAUCGCUGGAGUGCGGCAGAGGGGGAUGGAAUUCCGCGUGUAGCAGUGAAAUGCGUAGAUAUGCGGAGGAACACCGAUGGCGAAGGCAGGUCUCUGGGCUGACACUGACGCUCAUGCACGAAAGCGUGGGGAGCAAACAGG